rnacentral:lncRNA from 1 species
GGUUCUGGGGGGCUCUCAGGACAAAUCCUCAACUCCAAAGUAUGACAGUGUGGGCAAAUGUGCACAUGCCCUCACACAUGUGUACAGUGAGCUUCCUGACUGGCCGUGCCUCACCUCCCCAAACACUGCAGGUGUGGGACGAGCAGAGCUCACAGUACCAUGUUCUGCCCAGAGAAGUGUGGGUGCCCCAUUGCUGGAGGUGCCCGAGGUCGGAUGUGCCCUGGGCCUGAGCUGGUGUCUGAUCAGCAGUUGGCAACCCUGCCCACAGCAGGAGGUGGGAAUUAGAUGGUCUGUGAGGUCUCUUCCAACCCAACCAUACUAUGACUGUGAUCAAAGACUUUCUUACCUGUCUACAGCAACAUAGCCUCCAAACACUGCCAUCAUUUAGGAACAAAGCUGAAGCUCGACUGUAGCAAAGCAUUAAAAUCUCCCUGAAUUUGACCCACCACCACGCUGACCAUUGGCAAAAACACCUUCAGUCUACGGAUCACUGAGACAGCAGUGACUGAACAGGAGAUACAGUGCACACAUUGCCCAUCCACUGAUACAUGGCAUCCAGCAACCCUCACCAGCACUUACCAGUUUUGCUGGUGUGUCCAUACUGUUGAAACUCUCCACUGCAGCAAAAUUGAAGGCUGGAAUCUAUAAAUCAGGCAAGCAAAAUCAGCCUCGUUUACCCAGCACUUCCACGCUGGUAUAACUGGAAGGGAUCGCGCAGUGAAGCGCUGCCAUUACAAUAAAACAAAUAAACAAACCUUUCUGCGCCAACCAAACUUUAAAGUGUGAAUCUGCAAACCAGAGACAGAUUAUUGCCUGCGAAAAGCUCCCAUCUCUGGGGUGAAACAGAACCAGCUUGACACAGAAGGCGCCUUGGCUGAGGUUAGCAAACAAAAGUACUGUAAGCAGAUGGCGAUGGGAGAAGAUGACAGAGAAAUAGAGAGCUCUUAGCGUGAUGUUUUGGCCACUGUUCCUCCAGGACUCGUGUAUUUGGUCUCUCUGAGUUACGGGAGGUGUGCAUUAGGUGGCCGGCAGCCAAGCCAGACACAGGAGUCUCCCUGUUUGCAUCAUUCCACAAAACACCUGUUAAGAUGUAAGAGAACGAGGUUCACUUCAGAUGGGACCAGGAGCCCACCUAACACAGCAUCUAUCUCUGAUGGGUGCAGGCAAAGAGCGAGGCAGAGUGCUGCUGUUCUACAGCACAGCCUUUUGCUCCCAGCAGGGAAAGGACUGCCCUGCAGCCCCUCUUCUCCCCACAGCCUGCCCUGAGCUGCCCGGCCUCAGCGUGAGGGCAAACCUCUCCUUCUGGACAGGGCUGAGUCCUCCCCAGGCACCCAAAUCUUUCUGAUGCAAAGCAAAGGCGAGUUCAACAGUCAGAGCACGUAAUACCUUGCUCCUUGGUUCAUGGUAUCCAUUUGCACAAUGCCUAAUUACAACCCCUGGAUAUUGAAAUAGGAAUUAAGCAGGGCCAAAAUCUGAAGACUGCGGAGAGCUGGAUUUCAGAGCACUAAUGCUGAGGUUCCUAUUUUGAGUCCGGUCAGAUUUAGGGCUGUCAAUCAAAGGGUCACAUUUGCCUUCAAAGGCUGCGGUGCCACGAGGAAUUUCCUGGUGCUAAGCAUCCCAGCUUAGCUGCUGUUCUGUGGCAGGAGGGAGCUGGAAGGAGGAAGCCAGGGGACCAAUCACCUCCAUCUAUCAAAUACCCAAAGCUCAGUGCUCCUGUGUGGGGGAUAUAAAAAAGUAUUGGCCCUAAUCUCAUUUUCAAAGCGAUGGUGUUGUUUUAACUUUGUCCCCCUGGAGAGGGUAUGUGACAAAGCAGAACCUCAUCUCUUGUAAAGCCACGAAUGCUGUGCCUGCAGCUUGAAAAGCAAACCCACUGCCUCCCCUGCAGAUAACAUGGGCCUUGUACCAGGCUCACGAGCCCUUUCCAAAGGCCAGCCGUAAAUGGAAAGCAUGGCAAAGGCCCCCAGUUGUGAGGGGAGGGAGCUGCUCCCCUUCUGCCAAGGCGCAGUGAACCACACCAAACCUCUGCCUGCUGAAAGGACUCAGGGGCUGUGGUGUUGGGGACUGCACAGCUUCAGCUCUGCCCACCCCAAAGCUAGAUGCAGGGCUGGAGAUCUGGCAGGCAACUUCCACUGGGAUUUGUGAACUUCACAGGCAAGGCCCAGAGAUACAAGUGGGGCGUUCUUUACGCUCACCCCAUUGACACACGUCUUGUGGGGAAGGGGCAGCACAGCAGGGGAGGGCAGGAGGAGCUCCAUGGCGGUCUCCGACAUUUACAUCUUUCUGCCUGGACAUUUGGCGAGGCCAAAAGCUGCGGUGGGCAGCAGCGUGCUGGGCUGGGGUCAUCACAGCUCCACUCAGAGAGCAGCAAGGGCUCAUCUGCAAUGGUAGCUGCUGGGGGAUAUCCUGAUGGGGAAAGGGUUUCUGUGUGGUAUGGCAAUCUAUAUCUACAGGGAUACAAUAACCACAAAACGCACCGGGGACUCACCCAGCUGGCGGAACCGUGGCCGUCUCCUGCAAUUACACCUGACAUACGAGAGAUGGGAUGCCAGCUAGCACCUGCCCUGUGUUUAUACAACACUGCACCGCGACAGCUGCUCUAUGCUCCACGCAUCCCAGACUGCUUGCAAGGUAAAUAGAUCAAGUACAGGAUAACCUGAAAUUGCAGGCAGCUGAGGGCGAGCCCUUGGUGCUAUUGCCAUCUCUGAGCAGGAGGGGUACAAGGCAGGGACCUUUGUCAGCAUUGGCAAGGUUCUCUAAGAGAGAGCUACCAAAAUGCUGAUAUCUGUGUGUAUUUUCUUCUCAAGAAGCCACAUCUCUUCCUUCUUCUCUUCAAGUCAGUGCUGUUUGCAAAAGUUGAGUGAAACCCUGAAAGCAUACUGGAAUAAACUGAGAAACAGACCUCCAACGACAGCUCUGCUGGAAGCACUGAUUGUGAGAGACGGUGGUGCCUCUAAAAGCUGAGCAAAGCCAGAUUGCAGUGCUGCUGAGCAGUGCAGGCAUACACGGCUCCACCCGUAGCCUCCUUACAGAGCAGGAGCUGGGUGCUGGGGCAGGGUGGCAGGGCACAGGCACUGUCCCUUGCCAUGCAGGAGGUGAGGAGUGCUUUACGCCAUCCUCCUUAAAAGAGCAAGCAGGAGAGGAGCUCAUGCAACCCCAAGCAAAAGCUCGCAGACUUUCCCCCUGCUAUUUUUAAUUGCUGUUUGAAUGAUUAGUUUCCUUCCCAUCCUCCUCUGCACCCUGAGUCAAGUGAAAGGAAACUGCUCCAAACCCCAGUGCUUCCCCAGGCUUCAAACCAUCACUGGCUUUAUGUAGAGCAGACGGAUCUGAGGAAGCGAAGGGCAAUGGAGAGAAAUUACAUAAUCACAGAAUCACUGAGGUUGGAAAAGACCUCUAAGACCCCCAGGUCCGACCCCAGCCCACCAUCUCCACUGACCACAUCCCUCAGUGCUGCAUCCCCACAGCAGACGGGCUCUGAGCAGGCCUGAUUCCACCAGGCACGCCGAGCUGCUGCACACAGCGCUUAGGCUACGUGAAGCCCUGUUAAAUGCAGUGCUGCUGAGCUCAGUGAAACACUGUGUAGCACAGUACUCACAAGUACAGCUGCCAGAAUGCAUCCUGCUGGGAGGUGUGACAUACACCCCAUGGAUUUCCAUGGGACCGCAGAAAACUUGAAGCCAGAGCUGAGCUGUGAGGAUUUCAAGACGGACAGCUGAUUUCAGCGCAUAGCUUCAGUGCGGCUUCAGGGACAGAUUUCAUCAAGAGACAGUGGGAGGAACUGAAAGACAGAAAUCAGCAGCAAAGCACUUCCACGAACAGCAAACCCACAGGUGCCUACGGCCAUGCACCAUGUGUGUGCCCGGGUCCCCUGCUCCCUGACAAAGGCUGUGCUAGCACUGCUGCUCACCACUAAUGGAACCUCUUCCCUCGCCUCUUUUCACAAACCCGUAAGAGUUCAAUGCAUUACUCUGCCUUUGUGUCCCAUGUGGCUGAAACUGCCCCAGCAGGUUCCAGUCACUUGGGGGUGAAGGGAGCAGGGAGCUCUGGAGGUAGCACACACACACACACACGUGCAUGCAUGGCACGGUGCAGCUGCACUCGGCUCAUUUCUUUAGGUGCUUGGGCUAGGAAAGAGCAAGCAGGGGCUGCACAGCACCGAACCCAUCUGCUCGGAGCAGCUCCUGGGCACACGAAUGGCUGAGCCCCAGCAGGAGCAUGGCAACACGCCAGCGGCUCCCACAUCAAAGCUCCGCUCAGCCACCAGAUUGCCUGUUGGCUUUUACGACACCGCUAUUGCUUGCGUGGUGAAUUCCAGACUGGGGAUGUAACGACAGACGGGCCGGGAUCGCCUCGCCAACGGUAAAGUUCAGGUACAGUGUGUAGCCAAUAAAGAACGGACGCCUCGGGUUCCAUUCUGAGAUGGCCGCUCUCAGUUCCAGGAAUCUGCUCAGCACACAUUCAAGGCACAACGACAGCGUUUGUCACCUGUGGGGACAAGGCUGUAAGGAAGAAAGAACAAGGGAAGGGGAAACAUAAAGAAACAUCUUAAGAGGGGAAAGGAAAAGUACAGCAGCAAGGAACUGUGCAGGAGAGCAGCAGGAGGGCGGGCUGUGGCUGCAUCUGCCGGCUGCCUGCCACGUGGCUGCAGGAAAGUCGUGGCCUUUCUCCACCUCGCUUUUCCAGUCUGUGGAAUUAUUUAGAUAACAGUAUUUGCAAACUAAAGAACAAAAGUACUAUAUAUAAAACAAGCCUACUUAAGCCCAAGUGGCUUCUGUUUGCUGUAUUUAGAAAAGGGCCCAGUUCUCUCUGUGUCUUUCAUAAACAAAACACAGCCAAUCAUCUCCAGCCAAAAUUAAAGACUUGUUUUCUCUGACAACAGCUCUGACAUGUCUAAAGCCCCACAGCGACCCUAAGGUGUAAAGUAACCUGUCAGUCCUUGUAGUGUUACACCACUGAAGGGCACAGCAAAGGAGAUAACAGCCUUCAGAUACUACAGAGAGCCCAGAAUUGCCCCAUAGCAACAAGCAGGUGGUGAGCGAGCCUGAGUAGCUGGGACUGCUGCCACAUCUGUUAGAAAAUGACCUCAUGGGCUGACAUCACCUGAGAUUUCCAGGCCAGCCUUGGUCCCUUUGAGAUCUGGGGACAGCUUUGCAUGGCCUGCCAGCACCCUGGGAUUGCUGACAUGGGUGGACACAGCAAGCAGAAGUAAACCCACCUCUCCUGACCACCCUCCCCCCGUGCUGCACCGAGCCCAGGAGCUGCCGCACCUUUGCCAGCUCGCUCAGCUCCACAUAUAGCCCUACAGAGGUGGCAAUGUCCAGCUGUGCACAUCUGUGCCUUGGCACAGGGAGGACACGCACAGCCUCCUCUUCCUAAGACAGGCUGGGAAUUCCUUGGAACUGCUGGGGCACCGAUCCAGCCAAGACCAGCACCGUUUGCACUGACACAGCCUCCAAAAAGCUGCAAAUACACCUUGCUUUGCUGGAGUGACAGGCUGGGGAAGGGAGCAGGAAAUAAGGGGAAUGCCCGAAGGCAGACAGAAGUGAGUACGUGCUUAAUCAGCUUAGACUAAAUAAAUCAAUAGGCUCUAAAACAAAGGGGUCCCCAUGCAGAAGACAAACCUGCUGGAAGGACUGAAUGUGUAACCAGCACACGAGCAGCUCUCUGUAAGGUAUAAUGUGAACCAACCUGAAGCAGCCCCAGACGGAUGCACCAUCUGCUCACAGCGCCUCACAAGGACGCCGUGCUCGGUGCUAUCAAAACCAGCAGACACUCCAAGGAGC